rnacentral:rRNA from 1 species
UACGGGGGGGGGCAAGCGUUGUUCGGAAUUACUGGGCGUAAAGGGCUCGUAGGCGGCCAACUAAGUCGGACGUGAAAUCCCUCGGCUUAACCGGGGAACUGCGUCCGAUACUGGAUGGCUCGAGUUUGGGAGAGGGAUGCGGAAUUCCAGGUGUAGCGGUGAAAUGCGUAGAUAUCUGGAGGAACACCGGUGGCGAAGGCGGCAUCCUGGACCAACACUGACGCUGAGGAGCGAAAGCCAGGGGAGCAAACGGG